rnacentral:rRNA from 1 species
UGAUUGAUGGUGCUUGCACCUGAUUGACGAUGGAUCACCAGUGAGUGGCGGACGGGUGAGUAACACGUAGGUAACCUGCCCCGGAGCGGGGGAUAACAUUUGGAAACAGAUGCUAAUACCGCAUAACAACAAAAGCCACAUGGCUUUUGUUUGAAAGAUGGCUUUGGCUAUCACUCUGGGAUGGACCUGCGGUGCAUUAGCUAGUUGGUAAGGUAACGGCUUACCAAGGCGAUGAUGCAUAGCCGAGUUGAGAGACUGAUCGGCCACAAUGGAACUGAGACACGGUCCAUACUCCUACGGGAGGCAGCAGUAGGGAAUCUUCCACAAUGGGCGCAAGCCUGAUGGAGCAACACCGCGUGAGUGAAGAAGGGUUUCGGCUCGUAAAGCUCUGUUGUUGGAGAAGAACGUGCGUGAGAGUAACUGUUCACGCAGUGACGGUAUCCAACCAGAAAGUCACGGCUAACUACGUGCCAGCAGCCGCGGUAAUACGUAGGUGGCAAGCGUUAUCCGGAUUUAUUGGGCGUAAAGCGAGCGCAGGCGGUUGCUUAGGUCUGAUGUGAAAGCCUUCGGCUUAACCGAAGAAGUGCAUCGGAAACCGGGCGACUUGAGUGCAGAAGAGGACAGUGGAACUCCAUGUGUAGCGGUGGAAUGCGUAGAUAUAUGGAAGAACACCAGUGGCGAAGGCGGCUGUCUGGUCUGCAACUGACGCUGAGGCUCGAAAGCAUGGGUAGCGAACAGGAUUAGAUACCCUGGUAGUCCAUGCCGUAAACGAUGAGUGCUAGGUGUUGGAGGGUUUCCGCCCUUCAGUGCCGGAGCUAACGCAUUAAGCACUCCGCCUGGGGAGUACGACCGCAAGGUUGAAACUCAAAGGAAUUGACGGGGGCCCGCACAAGCGGUGGAGCAUGUGGUUUAAUUCGAAGCUACGCGAAGAACCUUACCAGGUCUUGACAUCUUGCGCUAACCUUAGAGAUAAGGCGUUCCCUUCGGGGACGCAAUGACAGGUGGUGCAUGGUCGUCGUCAGCUCGUGUCGUGAGAUGUUGGGUUAAGUCCCGCAACGAGCGCAACCCUUGUUACUAGUUGCCAGCAUUAAGUUGGGCACUCUAGUGAGACUGCCGGUGACAAACCGGAGGAAGGUGGGGACGACGUCAGAUCAUCAUGCCCCUUAUGACCUGGGCUACACACGUGCUACAAUGGACGGUACAACGAGUCGCAAGCUCGCGAGAGUAAGCUAAUCUCUUAAAGCCGUUCUCAGUUCGGACUGUAGGCUGCAACUCGCCUACACGAAGUCGGAAUCGCUAGUAAUCGCGGAUCAGCAUGCCGCGGUGAAUACGUUCCCGGGCCUUGUACACACCGCCCGUCACACCAUGGGAGUUUGUAACGCCCAAAGUCGGUGGCCUAAC